UACAUCUCCCCGUGGCAUAAAAAACCGUAUUUAUAGGUAACGCUUCAGCCAGUUCAGUGACUUAUUUUUCUCCAGACGACGAAGAUGAAACGUAAUUACAUCGCAAUAUUAGCUGUGGUGAUGGCAGUUUUCGUUUUGGUAUCUGCAGAUGACGACGACGAUGACCGCGAAUAUGGCUACGAUAACAGACACGGCGCUAGCAAUAAGGUUAAUGGGAGACGACGAAUUAUCUAUAAAUCAAGCAAAUCUACUAGAAAAUUUAAGUUCCAAAAAAACCGAGAUCACUUCCGUUUCCGUUCCACCACCAACGGGAAAAAGUAAAUAUGAAUACUGAAGCUGAUGUCAAGAAAACAUAUCGUGAGAGUGCUCAAUUACAUUGAAAAUCAAAGAUCUAGUUUUUGAACAAUUCAACAGCUUUCUUAUUCAGUACAUAAAUAAUAACGAUUAAAUAAAAUGAGU
rnacentral:lncRNA from 1 species